AAAAAAAAAAAAAAAAUUUUUUUUUUUUCCCUUAUUAAAACCCCCCCCCGUAUGUUUAAAAAAAAAGCGCUGUAAGGCUUUUUGUUAGUUGGAACGCUGGGGACUAGCUUUCAGAUUCAGGGAAACUUAGGUUGAAAAAAAAAUAAGCUAUCCUGAGCCAAAUUUUAUUUUUUAAAAAUAAGAUAGGUGCAGGGACUCGAUGGAAGCUAUCCUAACGCAAAAAAUUUUAAGGGUUAUUUAAUUGAAUUCUUUAAGUUAAUGAAAAAAAAAAAAAAUUUAUGAAUUUUUUUUUAACUAGCAAGCGGGGAUAAAGAUAGGGUCCAAUUUUACAUGUAAAUUAGCAACAAUUAAAUUGAGAAAAAAAAAAUCCGUUGGCUUAUUGCCCGGGAGGGGUCAAGUCCCACACCUCC
rnacentral:ncRNA from 1 species